rnacentral:rRNA from 1 species
AGUGAACGCUGGCGGUAGGCCUAACACAUGCAAGUCGAACGGCAGCACAGUAAGAGCUUGCUCUUACGGGUGGCGAGUGGCGGACGGGUGAGGAAUACAUCGGAAUCUACUUUUUCGUGGGGGAUAACGUAGGGAAACUUACGCUAAUACCGCAUACGACCUACGGGUGAAAGCAGGGGAUCUUCGGACCUUGCGCGAUUGAAUGAGCCGAUGUCGGAUUAGCUAGUUGGCGGGGUAAAGGCCCACCAAGGCGACGAUCCGUAGCUGGUCUGAGAGGAUGAUCAGCCACAGUGGAACUGAGACACGGUACAGACUCCUACGGGAGGCAGCAGUGGGGAAGAUUGGAAAAGGGGCGCAAGCCUGAUCCAGCCAUAGCGCGUGGGUGAAGAAGGCCUUCGGAUUGUCAAGCCGUUUUGUUGGGAAAGAAAAGCAGCAGGUUAAUACCCCGCUGGUCUGACGGUACCCAAAGAAUAAGCACCGGCUAACUUCGUG